rnacentral:rRNA from 1 species
UUUCCGUAGGUGACCUGCGGAAGGAUCAUUAG